GUGGUAAGGCAGGAGGAGACAGGAGCGAACUCCCCUUUUCGGCUGGGAAGUUUAUUAGGGGAGACCCUCACUUUUCCUUACCAUAGCCCUGGAGUUCUUCUCAAGCAGAGACCCAAAGAUGGGGAGGCAACGGGCACAACUGAGUACUGAACCGCCCUAAUGUCAAUUUCUACAGCUAUUAACAUAAGUUCCAUGCAGCCCGAAGUUUGCAGAACUCUCCCCCAGUUCCUGGAAGCAUGAUGAUAAGCCAGCGCUGUCCUUCCCCAAAGCUGACAGAAGAUAUAGCCUCCCUCAGAGGUGUGGCGGGAAAAGGAAUAAGUGUGACAGCAACCCUGGAGCUGAUAAAGGUGUCUGGGUGGGGGACCAGAAGACCGAUAGCCCCAGUAGCGCGGGAAACCAGUGAAGACAGGAUUUCCGCUCUUCCCCUACCUCCACAAGCUGACGAACUCAGGCACAGGUUAUGAAGGACUAAAGUUGCCGCGAGGUUUUGAAAGACAGAUGUGGCCAUGUCGUACCUGGUGGAGCAGCUUGCUGGUGAGGAAUGGAGCUUGUGCUAGACUGAGCUUCCUAAGAAUUCAGGUCUGAGCAACACUGGGUCUGAGCGUGUGUCUUUCCAUUUCUGUGCUUUUAUUUCUUGCUUCCCAAAUGGUUCCUGAGCUCUAUCAGCAUUUCUCAGUGCUUCAUAGCCGGCUCACCUCUGAUUCCUUUCGAAUUCUGGUAUCCGCUCUUGUUUUCUCCCAUUGCAUUUUCUCUUUUCUCAGUGGCCUUUAGCCUGGGUUAAGAUAUUGAAAAAUCGCAGCUUUUCUCUGCUUCAUGGCCGUUCUCUAUGGGCAUGCCUCCAUUUUCUAUACAAUUACAAUCCCAAGUCAUUGAUUCUCUUUCUCUUUGACAGGUAUAGUGGAGACUUCCUAAAGAUGCCCAUACUCCAGUCACCAGUGCCUGUGCCUAUAUUAUGCCAUGGAAAAGAAAAAUUCACUCCAAAUUGCUUCGAGUUUACUUAUCUGCUGACGUUAAUACAGGAAGAUUCUCUCGCAUGAUGGGAGCCAAUGUAGUCAGAAUAGGCCCUCUAAUGUAAAAGAACCUGAAAAGGGAAUCAGAGAGAGAGACUCAAAACGCUGAUUGUUUUAACUGCGAAGUAGUCAUAAGAUAAGCUAUGUAGGUGGCUUCCAGAAGCUGGAAAACACAAGGAAACAGUCUUCUCUGAAGCCUCCAGAGCAAUGGAGCCUGCUGGACCCUCAGUUCUAAUGCACUGAGCCUCACUCUGGCCUUCUGACUUUUGUUGUGUGAUCCAUCAACAUGUGUUGUCUUAAGCUUCAUGGUUAGUAAGAUUCCUUAGGCAGUAACUGGGAGCUAACGCAGCCAUUCAUGAUGUGUUUUCAAUGUGGUCUCAUCAUCGUUCCUCCCUGUCACGUGCCUGGAGCAAGAUGCACUUACCAGGUCUCACGAGGAAAUGUCGAGACCUGCCUUGACAUCCCUAGCCUCUGACAGACCUUGUCCUGAAGGGCUCAAGGCCCCUUUUGGGCACGGGAUGACCACAGGCUCUUGAGGCGGAGGAGAGAGAGCAAAAGGACUGUCAGUUUUAUCCUGAACGCUUCACAAAAUAUUUUUCUAAAAAAUAUCCUUUAGUCACUGAACAAGACAGAAAAUGGAAGUUGGACAAUUUUUUUUCUUUCUCACUAAAAAGGGGAGAAGGGAAAGAGAAAGAAAAAGAGAAAGAAAAGAUUCUGCAGAGGGUCCAUUGCACUGUGUGCAGCAGGCUGAGGGUCAAGCCCACCGUGGCUCUGAUGAGAAAUCUGCUGCUCUCUCUUGACUCUCGGUUUCUUAACCCAUGUGUGGCCUCGGAGUGCUGGAGAUCACCCAGAGCCUGCAUUUUGACAGAGUUUUCAAACAAGCUGUUCUUACAACAAAAGAUCCAAAUCAGUACCACCUCAGCUGUGGCCUCUGGUGGGCAUGCACACACACACACACACACACACACACACACACACACACGUUACUUAGACUAGCUGAAGGCAAAAUUCCUGUCAUAGAUUGAUGAGCCUGCUGGAAUAUAUAGAGUGUUUCGUUGUGACAUCUUAGACUGAAGAAAUGCAAAUGAAUUCAAAUGAAAAGACGGCCAAGGAGCCUCACCAACGCUUCGGCUGCAGCUUGCUUAUUACAUUCGGUUGCCUGUUCUCGCUCCAUCGCCGGGUUUACACCUGCAAUUACCUCUUCCCACCUGGGAGUGCACAGGUUUUGUUGAUUCCGUUUCGGGAAUGCGCAGCCUACGUGUUUCCCAGAAUAAAGAGCCUUCCAGAUCUCUGAAUUCAGAUACCAGGGUGAUACUUGCGUGCCUGAUUGUUUAAAAAUGAUUCGUGUGUGUGCAGGGGGAGGGGGGAUCAGAGAGAAGCAAAGAAACAAAGGAAAAAGUGGAAAGGAAGAUCUUACCUGACUUCAAAGGAACUGAAUUUACAAAUCGGGGCACUCGGGGGCUCUGUUACAUUCCCGCAGUAAUGAAACCCAAGCCCUAUUAACAAGCUCCAGUAACCCACGAACAGUUGUCGCUGUUGUCGGGACGGACCGUGGGCUUUCUCCAAAGGCAGCUGGAAAUCGUUUACACUGUAAGAUUAUCUGGGGCGAUAACAAGGUGCUCAGAAUGAGAAUGAGGUUGAGAUCAUUCUUCAAAAGGUUCCCGGCCAGACGAACUCUGACACCCUCCACACCUCUUCCAGAGAAUUCCCCCCUGGAAGAAGGCAGAUCCAAGCGCGUCAGGUGAGGUUGUGGAGUGUGACACAAUUUCCUGCACCUGGGCUCCAAGCUGCCUGUCAUUUGGGGACAAGGGAAGCUCCCUGACAUGAGGCUGACACUUGGCAGACAUCACGGGUCAAACAGUCCUCGCUUGCUGGACAAAGGUGACUGUGCCCCACCUUUCUCUAGGUCAAGGAAUGUCUUACUCAUCUGGGUUUUCUUACACAUGGUGGAAUGCGGUCCUGGAGGGCCCUACGGUAGUUCCCAAUGCAAAGAUGAACGAGAAGCCUAGAACGGUAUUUCUUAUGUUCUCUCAUAUCUAAAGGUGAUCUGGCUCCCCAUCCUAUGAGGCUUCAUAUUUUUU